GACGGAGCAACGCCGCGUGAGGGAGGAAGGCCUGUGGGUUGUAAACCUCUUUUCUCAGGGAAGAAGAUCUGACGGUACCUGAGGAAUCAGCAUCGGCUAACUCCGUGCCAGCAGCCGCGGUAAGACGGAGGAUGCAAGCGUUAUCCGGAAUUAUUGGGCGUAAAGCGUCCGCAGGCGGCUCAUCAAGUCUGCUGUCAAAAUCCAGGGCUCAACUCUGGCUGGGCAGUGGAAACUGGUGAACUUGAGUACGGUAGGGGUAGAGGGAAUUCCUGGUGUAGCGGUGAAAUGCGUAGAUAUCAGGAAGAACACCGGUGGCGAAGGCGCUCUACUGGACCGUAACUGACGCUCAUGGACGAAAGCUAGGGGAGCG
rnacentral:rRNA from 1 species